rnacentral:rRNA from 1 species
UACAGAGGUCCCAAGCGUUGUUCGGAUUCACUGGGCGUAAAGGGUGCGUAGGCGGUCGGGUAAGUCUGAUGUGAAAUCUCACAGCUUAACUGUGAAACUGCAUUGGAUACUAUCCGGCUAGAGGAAUGGAGGGGAGACUGGAAUACUUGGUGUAGCAGUGAAAUGCGUAGAUAUCAAGUGGAACACCAGUGGCGAAGGCGAGUCUCUGGACAUUUCCUGACGCUGAGGCACGAAAGCUAGGGGAGCAAACAGG